ensembl:lncRNA
UGUCAGAGCAUGGGGGAGGGGUUCUGGUGGGGAAAUCAGACCUAGAGCCCUUCUUGAGUCCUUUUUCUAGUUAACCCCACAGCAAGAGUCAGGUCUCAUACCUUGAAAGCGUUCAAGUGUUCAGCCCAUCAGUGAGCAAACGUUUACGGAGCAUCUACAGGGUGGAGCAGCCCUAUGCUAAGUAUCAAGGAAAGGAAGUGAGCAGAUUAGAUGUGGCUGCUGCUCCUGUCAACAUUCUAGAAGUAGUGAGUAAACAAAUACUCCGACACACAGUGUUCUAGCUGCCAUCAAGACAAGAGUUAUGAAGGAGACAUUCAGAGGUGGGACAUGCUCCCUGGCUCAGGACCUUGCUCCCAUCUUGUUCCUCAUGAAUGUUUGAUGACCGACUGAAGGAGCGUAGGAGGAAUCUCUGUGUAAUUACAGGAGACACCCAUCAGGGGCUCAGAGACCCAGAGAUGUCCAAAGACAUUCUAUUAAAUGAGAUGGAAAUUAAAUGACAAGCCAGGCCUGUGCACUGGAGGAGGAGGAGGAGAGCACUCCAGAAGCCAGGGUCGUCAGAGGGCUCUCUUCCAAAUGUGUUUUCACGCAAAUGGUGGAGCCCAGUGAACCUUGGACAUGAAGCUCUUUCCAAAUGAGUCUUUAAUAAUGUAGUUAUACAAAUUGAGCCUAAUUAAAUUGUACCCGUUGAAAAUGCACUGCUGUACAUCUGAAUGAUGAAAUCGGGAUCAAAAAGCAAUCCAGAAAAGAUGUGAAGG